AUGCACACACACAAAAUCAUUUCAGAAUACAAAUAUUUUUUUAAUCAUUUCAUAUUUCAGUCCCAAUCGUCCUCUCUAUCUCAACCUUUAUCUUCUUCCUUUCAAAAAAACCCUAACCCUAAAGCAAACCCCGCGGCGGCGCUCCCAACUGAAUCCGCUUUCCACCUUCAAUUCAAACCCAACCCACACAAAAUAACAUAA